rnacentral:rRNA from 1 species
AAUAGAUACCCCGGUAGUCCACGCCGUAAACGAUGAGUGCUAAGUGUUAGAGGGUUUCCGCCCUUUAGUGCUGCAGCUAACGCAUUAAGCACUCCGCCUGGGGAGUACGGUCGCAAGACUGAAACUCAAAGGAAUUGACGGGGGGCCCGCACAAGCGGUGGAGCAUGUGGUUUAAUUCGAAGCAACGCGAAGAACCUUACCAGGUCUUGACAUCCUCUGACAACUCUAGAGAUAGAGCGUUCCCCUUCGGGGGACAGAGUGACAGGUGGUGCAUGGUUGUCGUCAGCUCGUGUCGUGAGAUGUUGGGUUAAGUCCCGCAACGAGCGCAACCCUUGAUCUUAGUUGCCAGCAUUUAGUUGGGCACUCUAAGGUGACUGCCGGUGACAAACCGGAGGAAGGUGAGGAUGACGUCAAAUCAUCAUGCCCCUUAUGACCUGGGCUACACACGUGCUACAAUGGAUGGUACAAAGGGCUGCAAGACCGCGAGGUCAAGCCAAUCCCAUAAAACCAUUCUCAGUUCGGAUUGUAGG